rnacentral:rRNA from 1 species
UAACACGUAGGGGACGAGCGUUGUCCGGAAUCAUUGGGCGUAAAGCGCGCGUAGGCGGCCCGGAAAGUCGGAUGUGAAAACCCGGGGCUCAACCCCGGGCCUGCAUCCGAUACUCCCGGGCUGGAGGCAGGUAGGGGAGAUCGGAAUUCCUGGUGUAGCGGUGAAAUGCGCAGAUAUCAGGAGGAACACCGGUGGCGAAGGCGGAUCUCUGGGCCUGUC